UACGGAGGGUGCAAGCGUUGUCCGGAAUUAUUGGGCGUAAAGAGCUCGUAGGUGGUUUGUUACGUCUGCUGUGAAAACCUAGGGCUUAACCCUGGGCUUGCAGUGGAUACGGGCAGACUAGAGGUAGGUAGGGGAGAAUGGAAUUCCUGGUGUAGCGGUGAAAUGCGCAGAUAUCAGGAGGAACACCGGUGGCGAAGGCGGUUCUCUGGGCCUUACCUGACACUGAGGAGCGAAAGCGUGGGGAGCGAACAGG
rnacentral:rRNA from 1 species